AAAACAUCACUGCGCUUCCGUCGCACAGAGCCUGACGAAGGCUUGGGCUCCCCGCGCGGUGACCGUCGAGGUGACCUGCACCUGGCUCCAUGGCGGAACCGGCCGGCACGGAUUAUUCCCCUCUCGGGAGAGGUCUGCAGCCGGGCCUCAGUGCUUCAGUUCGUGGCCUGGCAUUUUGUGAAGAGUGUCUUCAUCUCUGCAUCCCUAGUGCAACAGAGCAUGACAAAAAUUCAACAAAUAUUUAUUGAAGAGUCUUGAUGUCUUUUGGGAAAGGAACUCUAUGGUUACCUUUACUCUAAGGCAUUGUGAAGACCCUGUUUCUCUAGCUGUGCAGCUGCAAGGUCACUAGGCAGAUAAACUCAAGCCAUAAAACAUGUUUUUCCUUGAAAAAUUAGAUGGGUGUUACUGAUUCUUACCUCAGAGAAGAGAAUGUCAUGGAGACAAAAUGACCUGCUUAGAGUUCUGCACCCCCCAGCAUGGAGAGCAGAGCGCAAAGAUUUCUUCCGGACUCCCACAUUCCCCUUGGAAUCCAAGAACUGGUCUACUGUCACAACACUUUAGUACCCUCUUCUCCCAAGGAGGCAGCAGAAACUGGGGUAAUCACAACGGUCAACAGCAGCAAAGGCAGCACUUUCUGAUUUACUUGACUGCUAUGGAUGCCACCUCUCUCCACGCCUCAGUUUAAUAUCUGUAAGUUUGGACAGGAGGUGUCCUGGUGAUCAGCUGGAGCUCGGGGGAGCUGUUGCUGAAAUUAACUUGAGUGCUUUGGAGAGAGAUUUACAUGGCAGAGUGGAGCCAGGGCUGCUCCUUUGGCAGGCACUGCUGUGCCACUGUGGAGGCGCCCCUGCUUUUCCCAUGCUUUGCAGUGUCUUUAAAGGCCUUUGGAGCCAUGCCCAGGCUCAGCCCCAUCCUGGUGUCCCCCUGUGUCCGUUUUGCCACUGCCCGGCUACUUCACUUGGCCAUGGGCCUUACCAGCUUGCAGACAAACCCGUCCAUCUACGCCUCCCAGCGCAGCUUGGCCCACUUGCAAGCACUUACAGAGGGUUUCAGAAGGAACAUGUCUGCCAUCUGUGUUUGGAGACUGUGUCCCAGACUUUUGAGCUCACAUUAGUCAUGGCCACAGACGGGACUGGAGUCCUGCCCACUGGAGUCCCAAAGGUCUCUGGUGUUUGUUUUCCACUCUGCAUGCCUGGGUUGGGGGAUGGCAGGGGGAUACAGGUUGUUGGAGUACCUCCCAGCCGGGCCGUUUCCUUGGUUCCCUGGGGCUGCCUUGCUUCCUCUCUAGAUCAUCAGUCUCAGCAGAGGAAACCAAAAAUCUCCUCCUCGCCCCGCAACCACCUUUUGCUGACUGCUAAGCAUCCCUGCUCUGAAACCAUAACCACCAUAAAAGCAAUAGGCUUGUCUUCUCUGUUCUAAGCAUGUACUAUUCAGGUGAUUUAGGGGGAGUAAACAGGCCCAGAGAAAUUAAAUAAUUUGUCUAAGGGUACCGGCUAAUGAGGAUCUGAGCUCAGUUGUAAAUGACUCCAUCACCCAUGCUCUUUUUUAGUCCCCUUUAUAAUUAUUUUAAAAUAACAUUUAAUUAAUUUUCUGUUAUAAAAGGAACACAUGCUCAAACAAAAAACUUAGAAAAUAUAAAAAUGUAUGAAGACAAAACAAAAUAACCCCCAGUAUUAGCAAUGCCAACUUGCCAAGACAAAAAUGUUAACAUUUUUAUUUCUUUUUCUUUUCAGUCUUUACUCUCUGUGUGCACACACACACACAGGCAAAGUGAAAUCACAUUGUAUAUUCUUUUUUGCUUCUAGCAUUUUCCACUUAGCUAUCUAAUAUUACUAUUUCCUGAUAUCAAUAAAUGAUCUUCAAUCCCA
ensembl:lncRNA LAMTOR5-AS1 LAMTOR5 and SLC16A4 antisense RNA 1